rnacentral:rRNA from 1 species
CGUGCUAAUCUGCGAUAAGCGCCGGUAAGGUGAUAUGAACCGUUAUAACCGGCGAUACCCGAAUGGGGAAACCCAGUGUGAUUCGUCACACUAUCAUUAACUGAAUCCAUAGGUUAAUGAGGCGAACCGGGGGAACUGAAACAUCUAAGUACCCCGAGGAAAAGAAAUCAACCGAGAUUCCCCCAGUAGCGGCGAGCGAACGGGGAGGAGCCCAGAGCCUGAAUCAGCAUGUGUGUUAGUGGAAGCGUCUGGAAAGGCGCGCGAUACAGGGUGACAGCCCCGUACACAAAAGCGCAUGUGCUGUGAGCUCGAUGAGUAGGGCGGGACACGUGGUAUCCUGUCUGAAUAUGGGGGGACCAUCCUCCAAGGCUAAAUACUCCUGACUGACCGAUAGUGAACCAGUACCGUGAGGGAAAGGCGAAAAGAACCCCGGCGAGGGGAGUGAAAAAGAACCUGAAACCGUGUACGUACAAGCAGUGGGAGCCCCACCACCAAAGCAUUCUCUGGUGUUGAAGGCCCUGCAAAGCAGCAUCGCGGUGGCGGAGCGUCGUUUGCGACGCCCAACACACAAAACAAGCGGUGAGUGCUUUGGGGUGGGGUGACUGCGUACCUUUUGUAUAAUGGGUCAGCGACUUAUAUUCUGUAGCAAGGUUAACCGAAUAGGGGAGCCGGAGGGAAACCGAGUCUUAAUUGGGCGUUAAGUUGCAGGGUAUAGACCCGAAACCCGGUGAUCUAGCCAUGGGCAGGUUGAAGGUUGGGUAACACUAACUGGAGGACCGAACCGACUAAUGUUGAAAAAUUAGCGGAUGACCUGUGGCUGGGGGUGAAAGGCCAAUCAAACCGGGAGAUAGCUGGUUCUCCCCGAAAGCUAUUUAGGUAGCGCCUCGUGAAUUCAUCUCCGGGGGUAGAGCACUGUUUCGGCUAGGGGGCCAUCCCGGCUUACCAACCCGAUGCAAACUGCGAAUACCGGAGAAUGUUAUCACGGGAGACACACGGCGGGUGCUAACGUCCGUCGUGAAGAGGGAAACAACCCAGACCGCCAGCUAAGGUCCCAAAGUCAUGGUUAAGUGGGAAACGAUGUGGGAAGGCCCAGACAGCCAGGAUGUUGGCUUAGAAGCAGCCAUCAUUUAAAGAAAGCGUAAUAGCUCACUGGUCGAGUCGGCCUGCGCGGAAGAUGUAACGGGGCUAAACCAU